rnacentral:lncRNA from 1 species
AGAAAUAAAUUAGGUCCCAUUUGUUUCUUCCAAGACUUGUCAGCCCCAUCCUUCCUCUCAUUUCCUCUUAUGAACAAAAUACAAUCUUCUUCAUCUUCAACAUCAGAAUAUGCUAGAUCUUUUUGUGCAUGUGUCAUUUCCCUCUAUCUCAUAUUUUUUUCUUGAUGUUAUUCUUUUAUCUCUCUUUUUGGGGUGAAUCUUCAAGGAUCAGACCAAAUUUCACCAUUUCGGGCAUGGCCUGAAGCAUCACGUGAAGAUGAAGUCCGUCCAAACCUCCAACGUUUGGAUUCAAACGGAUGUGUUGACCAAGAUUUCGAAUUCAAAAUUUCAAGUUCCCGCUCUUCAGAAACCCUACCUUUUUAUCGCCUAUAAAUACUUCUCUAAGUCUCAGCCGAGGCCAAGCGGGGAGAAUGAUAAAAAUCUCAUCUAUCUUACUACUCUCUUAACACUGACCAUUGUUCUUUUAAAUUCGCUUCAUUUUAUAAAAACUGAUUCUACCGUCGAUCUUGUUCGCGGAGUAGAUCUGAAACCUCAAAAGCCUUAGUUCACUGCCCGCAAAAAGGUCAGUAACUGAAGUAUUUUUUUUCUCUCAUUUUUUUUCUUCUUCUUUGAAUAUCUGAAAUGAUUGUAUUUUUGUUUGAAUGAGCUGUAGUUUAUUAUGUGUGUGAAUUGUAAUUUAGAGUUAAAUGCUUAUUCUAAAGAUCAGAGAAGAGACACCAUCUGUUUGAAGUGCUAAUACAUCUUCUUUUGUUGUUUUCAAGUAACAGAAAAUGUAACUCUAGGAUUAGUCAAAUCUAGAUAUUGUAGGACUCAUACUUUACUGCUAUAAGAAUUAUCUCAUGAAUUUCGUUAGAAGAUAUAACCCAUGCUUGACUAACUGAUUCAUUUUGUUUAGCCUGAGUCACUCUGUUCUUCAUAAGAAACUUACUUUGCUUAUAGGAGUGAUCAUAGUUGACUGUUUUUUUGUAAUUGAAUAGUAUCAGGUAAACAUUGUAACUUAGUCAUAAUAUUUUCAUGACAUAAAGUUUGGCCAUUUAAGUUAAAUAUUGAACCUUGAUGGCUAGAGAUGUUGAAUACAAACUUAAUAUUUCUUCUUGAAGAAAACAGUAUUAUGUGGAGUGUUUCAUCUUAUAAACUACUAUGAGAUGAGUUUUAUUAUGAUUUUUACCUUUUUAUUUAUCUCUUAUGUAGUAUAAAGAAUCGGAUUCCAUUUUCUUCUAAUUCUUAUUUUUUGUUUGUCUUUGCAUGUGCACUUGGAGCUAACAUGGAGUCUUAACGCAAGACUCUUCAUACCCGAGCACGGAAUCUUCACAUCCCAUGUUCUUAUAGAGUUACCGGAUAGCAAGAAAACAAGCGAAAUGCUUGGAGACGCCUAUGACGUCUUUUAUUUUUCUUUUCUCUUAUCAUUUGUUUAGUUUUAUUUUUCUUUUCUCUUAUCAUUUGUAUUUUAUGAAUUGUUUAUCUGUUCUUAUUGCUUUAUAUAAAUUGUCAUUUCGUUUCACUUCCUCCACUUCUGGAUAAUUCACACAGAGCACACCUAGCGGUUACGUAAUUUGCGGCCGUGCACUUUUCAAAAAAGUACCUUUUAGGGGAAAGUUCAUGGGUAAGUCGAUUAGCGGUGCAGUCGACAGUCACAAACUUUCCACUCUCAAGUUGGCCGCUUGGGAAAGGACUAGUCUAGAAAAAACUCAUUCUUAGUCUGCCUAAGAUAGAGCUAAACCAAAAACCUUUUGAGAGCAUGCAUUAUUUUAACCUUAGGUGAUUUAAUACCCGAGGUGUAUUAAACCCGUUAGUUGACCUCACCUAAAUGUCCAAGUGGGUUUUCAACCCCAAGUGACACCUUAUCACGUAUAUGUGCAUUAUUUGAAGGAUGAACAUGCCAAUUAUGUGGAUCAUUUACUUUAAAUCCUAGUUAAAGGAGAAUGACUAUCUUUUUUUUAUAGCAUGUGUAAAGUUUUCAAAUGGCACAAUCUUGCGGAAUAACGAGAAGUUUACACAUGACAAAAAUAUCUUUUAUUGUACUUUCUUUUGAUUUUUUUACGUAAAAAUAAUUAAAAUGGCUUAAGCAAUUCAUGUGCUUUAUUUGCUUUUGAAAAAUAGAAUUACUUAAUUAAUUUAUUAUUAUAAAUAUAUUUUAUUAUACUUUCUUUUGUUCUUUUGAUGAAAAUACACUCCUUUUUUACAAAAAAAAAAAGGAAAGAUGUUUAAUCAGUUAUACUUUACUAUUUAUUUGCUUUUCAAAAUAGAAUUAUUAAUGGGAUGAUACAUAAUGACAUAUUUAUCUUUAAAAUAUACGUUAGGCCUACCUCUAGCACAAAAAGGUCCCUUACAUAUUAGGACGCACAAUGAUUUGCUAUACUUUGAAAUUUGUAGCAUGCUUGCUUGCUUAUUUGCUUGCUUGCUCUGUUGCUUAUUUGACUUCAUUAUUUUUACUAACAUCAUUUGUUGUUUUUCAGAAGAGGAAAAUAUUGACUAUCCAACUUGCUUACAGUUUUAUAUACUUUAUUUGUUUAUACAUUUUACAUUUUAUUUCAUCUUUCGAAUUAAUAAUAAUAAUAAUAAUAAUUACCAAUCAUUCCGCGCUUAGUGCUCUUCAACGACUCUAGAGCAUCGUUUAGGCAUUUUCUUAGGCCCAGAUUUCUCUUAGGUCCAUCCAAUUCUUAGAGUCCAAUUAAUAUAUCCUUUCAUUUUUGAAGUAGGACCUUUUGCCCGCAAACUCUCUAACAAGCUCGAUUCGUCAUGAUAUUCCUCGAUAUUCGUGCAUUCAACUAGGCUCAAGGAUUUUCUUUAAUUAACAAGAUGUAUAGUAAGAUUUCAUUAAAACCGGCAUAACUUUAAUAUUAGGUGGAAUAUUUUGCCCAUCUAAUUUUGAGAGUUAAUUUUAUUCAGGCUAUUUUUAUUAAAAUAUGGUUACAUGUUUUUAAAAUAUUGUCACUCGUGCCUUACAUAAUUUGUAUACCUUCGAUUCUUUCACGUCUUUUUCCCAAGGGCAUAAACUUAUAUUUUCACAAAAUAGAAUAUUUGUCACGUAGAUCUAUGUUCCGUAAAAUCUAUUUAGCGUUCUACGUAUGUCCUAGAAUUUCAACCUUCGUGCCGACUCUUAUUCACAAGUUGGUAGAUGUCCAAACUUGCGCAAUCUACCGAGCAAUAGAAGGCCACUAUUUGGUCAAUUUGCAUCGUCAAAUUAUUCUAAAUAUUUUUACCUAUUCAACUCAAGUGUCUAUAUCGUCUUAUUUCGGGUCGUCGAGAUUAAUCUUCACGCACCCGUUAAUUCUAAAUUUUGGCGCAUGAGAUGAGGUACUAUCCCAUAACUCUCAAAACGGUUGACACCAUAUUCCCAGGUCUCGAUAACUUUAUGAGUUGCCAAUGCUAAUAAAAUAUUUUUUUUAACUAUUUCAUGUCCAAGUGACUACCAUCUUUAUUAAUUAUCCAAAUCUCGAUCUUGUCUAUAUAUACAAAUACCAACAAAUUAUUUUCAAGAUAAAAAUCACCCAUUUUUGGAUCCUUUUAUACGUAGCCCUAUUAUAAGACUCGAUCCAUCGAUUUCUUAAGAAUGCAUUCUUAAAAGUUGUACCCUUAGUUUUAGUGCUUACCAUCUAUAUUCUGUCUUUCCUCUAAAGGUUGACUUAAGUUGAACAUCAAAGCAAGGAAAACUUCAAGGACGAUAUGGCUGACCAAAUCGUAGUAAUUGACUUAAUCGAAGACGAAGCUGUUGGUGAGAAAACAGAAUCAUACCAAGAUAAUAUUGCUAAGCUUGAAGUAAAGGUGGCACAAAUGGAGCAAGAAAUUGAUGGUAUUAAGGAAAUGAUAGCCGAUCUUAAGAACUCGUCCAACGAAAAAGGCUACUCUCCAAUUCGCACAGCUCCACCUCCUAUUUAUGAAUGUAAUGCCCAGUCUUUUCAAAAUAUGCACUCUUUCUUGCUAGAAAAGACAUUCAGUAGCUUGGCCGAGACAAGUAAGGAUAGAGAAAGUGGUAGAAAACAUUUCAAUGUAGAGAGUAACCAUGUUCCUUUGGGAAACGGUCAUGUCUUACAACUUGAGUCAGAUUUAGUUGUGGAAGAAAACGAAAAUGGGGAUAUUGCUAAUCUCACUGAUAUUCCAGUGUACAAUGGGAUAGGUUAUCCUCAAAGCCAUUUGAAGGCAUAUCAUGAUUGGCUAACAUGCAUAGGGCAAGAUAGUGAAUUUAAGCCGAGACUCUUUGUUAGGACACUUACAGGGCCAACAUUAAUGUGGUAUGCAAAGCAAGACAUAUGGAAAUGGUUCAGUUGGAAUAACCUAGUAAAGGACUUUGUCAAGCAAUAUGGGUCCUCCAACGAUACUACUAGUAGAUGCAGCUCGUUGAAGAGAAAAUCCAUAGAGUAUCCUCAGAAUUUGAAAGCAAACGAACCUCAAGGAAAUGUGGUAGAAUCAACUUUCAAGCUUGGCAAGCCGGUUAAGAUACACCUCCAGGAUAAAGGGAAAGGAGUGAUUACUAAAGUAUUAAAUCCUCCACCAUCAGUACCUAAGAUAGGAAAAUCACAAAACUUUACCCCUUUGAGUGAAUGGCCUUCUAUCAUUUUUGAGAGAUUGAGAUCAUUUGGUAUCAUGCAACCAAAACCUGCCAAAAUCCCUCUACCACAUUUCAAUCCAACCAAAUGUUGCGCAUUUCACUCGGGCAUGCUAGGCCAUACAACAGAUGAGUGUCAUUGUCUGAAAGAGGAAAUCCAGAAGCUGUUGGAUAAUGGUAGGGUCAUUCAGAGACCGGUGCCUCCCCCUCAAUCUACGUGGUACCAACUUCCAAAUGUCAUCCCUAUACAUAAUUUCACCCAAGUAGCUUAUCCGUAAUUUGCUAAUUCAUCUCUUCCCUACAACCAAGCAAUACAAAAGAAUUGAGCAUGUGGAAGAGCCUCUCAGAAGAAGAAUAGUUCGAAAUCGUAACUAAGAUUUAGUUUUUGAAGUAGCAGUAUCAUUAGAAGUUAUGCUAUUUUGUACACUUAAUUGAUCAUCUUUUGUAUCCAUCUUUUGUAACGAACUAUGACCAGCUUGAUUCUUGUCAGAUAUCGAGUUCAACACUUUUAUUUUAAAAUUUUCGAUCCUUAUUUGUAUGUAACUGAACUACGUCGGACAUGAUUCCCUUGGUGGGAUACGUAGGCAAUCCACAUCGGGUUCGGUCAUAUUUUAGUAAAAUUAUCCUUUAUGUAUUUUGGAACUACGUUAGACCUAAUUCCCGUGGUGGGAUACGUAGGCAGUCUAUAUAAGGCCCGGUCUCAUUAUAGCAAAAUUUUUCAUUUUCCUUCAUGAAAGAAACUGGGGCAGAUUAUUGGCACGCAGAUUGAGUAUGCUAAACAUGAAAUCAUGCCAUCGAGUAGUCAUCAGAGACUUCCUAAAGACUGGGGAAAUGUUUUAAAGUAUGCCAGAGUCAUGAAAUGACAAAAACGUGUGCUAGAGCUAAAGCUUUAAUGUUCGACAUGAGUCAACUUUUUCACAAAAUUUCAAAUCAAUUCGCUUCCAUGUCAACAAUUCUCGAGUGUUAGAGCUCUCUAGAUACGAUUCAUUCUCGUCCAUCCAUUUUACAACAUAAGCCAUCAUUUCUAGUUUAGGGCUCUUACUUAACCAUAGCAUGAAUUAAUCUAUAUAAUCAUAUACUCUAUUAUUUUUAUGCAUUUAUUUCAUUAUGACGAAUACGCUAACACUUUAUUUUUGUAUAGUUUUAUUUUUCCUUUUAAGGUUGCCUAGCAUUGAACACUGUUUUGGCUACGAAUAUGCAUAAAGGACGAGGCUAUAAUGACAGACCAAUUUGUAGAAUUCAGCACUAGUAAGGGACUUUUGCAAGCACAUACUAAUGGUACCAAGGCGAAUGUGGUACGACGUAACGUGUUGGUUAAUCUCGGAAAUACUUUUGACCUGCUUCCAAAUACUAUUUCUAUUUCCAGCUCAAAGCAGAACAUUUGUUUAACAAUAUUUCCUUGCCCAACUCCUACUUAUACAAUCUCUCCACAAAUACCAUUAAACUAUACUCCCAAUCAAGCCAUGAUGAUACCCAAUAUCCAACCUACUACGGCUCCAAUUCCUUCUGGGGAAACCAACCAAGAGCAAUUUGCAUUGUGCCAAUAUGCAAGAAUGGAAAGAAAAAUUAAGUCAAGUACCCAAAAUAAUUUGGAUAAUGAGCUCCACAAUCUAAGGAAAGCCAUUGAAAAAGAGUUGCAAUCAAGAAGUUAUCAAAGUCUGAGAUAUAAAGAUUUGUGUUUGCAUCCACAUGUUGAGCUUCUGGCAGGGUACAAGCUGCCAAAGUUCAGCACUUUUAAUGGGAUUGGAGAUCCCGUUGCUCAUUUAAAGGAUUACUGCAGUAGAUUGAUUAGUAUUGGACAUAAUGAGGCCAUUCGAAUGAGAUUAUUCAUUCAAAGUUUGUCCGGAUUAGCGCUGACUUGGUACACCAGACAAGACUUUAGGAAAUGGCGUAUAUGGGAAGAUAUGGCUCGCGAUUUUGUGAAAUAAUAUGAGUUUAACAUUGGACGUGAUCCGCACAUGGCUGAUUUUCUCAAAGUAAAGAAAAUGCCGCAUGAAUCUUUUCAAAAGUAUGCCAUACAAUGGAGAUUAGAAGCUUCAAAAAUACAUCCUCCAUUGCCUGAGAGAGAAUUGAUCUCAACCUUCAUUCAAAUUCAAAAAGGCAUAUAUUUUGAUAAGUUGCUCGCAACUUGUGCACGCAAUUUCUCUGAUUUUGUUCGAAUUGGAAACGAGCUAGAAUGUGGCAUUCAUGAAGAAAGAAUUGUGGGCAAUUCAGCAACUCAAACCAUUAACCAAACCUUCCAUCAAGAGAUAUCUGAAAAUCUGCAAAGCAAAAAGAAAGAAGAUAGCUCAGUUGCCAUGACUGCUAUUCACCAGCCACAAUGCCAUGAGAAUCACCAAUUUUUGCAAUCUUAUUCCACUUCCAACUUACACAACAGUCACCUCCAGCCUAAUUGCUAGCAAAAUUUUUAGCAAAACACCCGGAAGCAAUCUCCCCGAGCACAAUCUAACCUUCGACAAAAAAAAUGAAGCACUGCUCUUUCACUACUUUGGAUGAGCCAUUGGUUAACAUACAUGAAAGAUUGAAAGCCAAAGGUCUUCUACAACCAAGGAAUGGAUUUAUCUCUAAACAUCCACCUCAAAACUUUGAUCCAUCCAAAAAUUGUGCAUUCCAUUCAAACAUUCAAGGACAUGACACCGAAGAAUGUCCAGCACUCAAAUUCAAGAUACAAAGCAUGAUUGAGCAAGGCAAAAUAAAAAUACAACCUGAGUUACCAAGCAAUAAUUGUGAAAUUUCAACUGCAGACACAAUUAUUGUCAAAGGCGAUCCAUCAAAAUUAGCACGAUGUUUGAAAAGAAAACGCAUAGCAGAUCAAAAAGACUGAGAAUGAUGUCAUAUCGCAACCAUUCUCCACCCGCCCAUCCUUAGUACUAUGUUUUUGCAAUUCUUUGAGACUUUUGUAAUGAACUACGUUUUGACCUAAUUCCCAUUUAAGAGGGGAUACGUAAGCAGCCCUAUGGCUUCGGUCUCAAUAUAAUAAAAUUUUAUUUCCCCCAAAAGUCAGAACCGGGGCAAAUUUCGCAGAAGGAUUCUCAAUAUUCGGCAAGGUAGAAGUCAGAUUUUUUAACUAAAUUCUGGUCAUCUUCGCAUCAGCAAGUUUGAAAUGCCAUCACAAUACAAUUGCAGAUUCAAUGUUGAAACUUUGAUGUUCGAUGCAAGGAAACGAUCAUUUUUUAUACUAACAGCUUUCUUUGAGUAAUGUAGGGGCAACCUUUAGCUAUUCUUGAAUGAUAUUAUACACUAUUUAGAAGCUCAACAUCAAGUCAGAAGUUGGAAGAGGAAGAAAAGGAUCAAGCCAAGUUAUCGCAAAUUAUAUUUUGAAACUCAUAGUUUUCUUUGAGUGCAGAAAUUUACUUGAAUAUUAUUGGCACCGCUCCCUGAAUAUUUGCUUUCAUAAAGGCACUGCAUCAAGCUCUCCGCACCAUGGAUAUUCGCUACUAUAAAGUUACUGCACCAGGAUUUUUACAUCGCAUCAUGAAUUACCACUACAAAAUGGGCACCGUAUCAAGAUCUCAGCACUGUAUCAAGCUCUUUGCACUGCAUCAAGAUUUGUAAUUACAAAUCAAUCACUAUAUAUCGGGUCUAUUCGCCCUCGAAUAGGAUAUAUCGGGUCUAUCCGCCCUCAAAUAGGAUAUUUUGGGUUCACCCGCCCUCAAAUAGAAUAUUUCGGUUCAUCCGCCCUCAAAUAGGAUAUAUCGGGUCCAUCCGCCCUCAAACAGGAUAUAUCGGGUCCAUCCGCCUUCAAAAAGAAUAUAUCGGGUCCAUCCACCCUCCAAUAGGAUAUAUCGGGUCUAUCCACCCUCAAAUAGGAUAUAUCGGGUCUACCUUGAAUAGGAUAUAUCGGGUCUAUCUGCCCUCAAAUAGGAUAUAUCGGGUCUAUCUGCCCUCAAAUAGGGUAUUUUGGGUUUAUCCGCUCUCAAAUAGGAUAUUUUGGAUUCAUCCACCCUCAAAUAGGAUAUAUCAGGUCCAUCUGCCCUCAAAAAGGAUAUUUCGGGUUCAUCCGCCCUCCAAUAGGAUAUAUCGGGUCCAUCCGCCCUCCAAUAGGAUAUAUCGGGUUCAUCCACCCUCAAACAGGAUAUAUCGGGUCCAUUCGCCCUCAAAUAGGAUAUAUCGGGUCCAUCUGCCCUCAAAUAGGAUAUAUUGGGUUCAUCUGCCCUCAAAUAGGAUUUAUCGGGUCUAUCCGCCCUCAAAUAGGAUAUACCGGGUCUAUCCGCCCUCAAAUAGGAUAUAUCGGGCCCAUCCGCCCUCAAAUAGGAUAUAUCGGGUCCAUCCGCCCUCAAAUAGGAUAUAUCGGGUCCAUCCGUCCUCAAAUAGAAUAUAUCGGGUUCAUCCACCCUCAAAUAGUAUAUAUCAGGUCUAUCAACCCUCAAAUAGGGUAUAUCAGGUCAAUCCUCCCUCAAAUAGGAUACUAACGUUAAUCCUUCCUCAAAAGGACAUUUAAUUUAUUUCGACCGAGUGGUCCCACAUGCAUAAGUAUUGCCAAAACAUAAUUUUCAUAAAUCAUUGCCAAACGUAUUUAUUUUCAUAAGCUAAAUUUUCAUAUGGCAUUGCGAUCAUGAAAUAUAUCACCAUAAAAUUAUAUUUUUAUAAGUUCGCCCAAUAAAUUCGCAUUUCUUAUGAAUUGACGCCUAAAUAUUAAUUUCGUAAAAUUACUUUUAUGGCAUAUUGCAUCUUAUUUCCUAACAAGUUUUUUUAGCAUUGUUAAGCUUUGCAGGAAAUACAGCGCAAAGUGGAACUAUAUUGUAGCAGUGAACUGGGGUAGCUUGUUGGGGAGGAAUAUCAAACUCUCCAACAAAGGUCAAGGAUCUACUUCGAACUCCGCUCGACUCAACUCUCAAAAUUCCUAACCAAAUCCUUAUUUCAAAUAUCUUUCUUUCAAUCACGGUACCCUGUGUCUCAAUAAUUCAACACUGGGCAGCAUUUUAAGAUUUGCAUCAAUAGUUGAGUCCUACUCCAGGGUACCAUAAGUAUUGAACUACAUAUUGCCUGAUUCUCGUGAAACCCGAGAUAUGUAGGCAACUCGAAACUAGAGUUUGACCAUAAUUAUUUUUUUACGUCCCCUUUGUCCCAUUCCAACCUUGAUGGUCAGGACAAAAUUGGCUACUAUGUCAAUUUCUUUGCCCGAAAACUCUUACAUCAUCUCCGGUCAAAGGGGGGCAACUGUUGACAUCCAAUUUUGUCCCUCCUUUCUUCCAAAUUAUUUUUUAAGCUUCUAAUAUCACUAAUAAUAUAAGGUAGUUAUUCUACUAUAUCUGUUAUUAUUAUUAAAACUCUUACUAUACAUGUUGUUGUUGUUGUUGUUGUUGUUGUUGUUGUCGUCGUCGUCGUCGUCGUCGUCGUCGUCGUCGUCGUCGUCGUCGUUGUCGUCGUUGUCGUCGUUGUUGUCGUUGUCGUCGUCGUCGUUGUUGUUGUUGUUGUUGUUGUUGUUCACUCGUUCAUUCAUUCUUAUCGCCUUUUGUGAAAAAGCAUAUCAUUCUUCUUUAUUUAAUAAAAUAGUAAUGUUUCUUUAAUCCUACGUUUUAUAAAUAUUUGUUCCAAGAAUAUUAUAGUUUUAUACUUAUAUUAGUAUAAGGGAUAUUUUCAUAUGUUAAUAUUAUCUAGUAUUAUAUGAUAUGAUUAUUAAAAUAUUUUAUCUAAAUAGAAGCUCAAAAGAAUUAAUUUGAAGAAUAGAAAAAGGUCAUAAAAUUCGACCAAUUAGGAGCCCAAAACUUCUUUUGUUUUCAGACCAAUUUCAUAGCCCAAAUAAAUAACAUGUUGGAUCUUUUUUUAAGACUAAGAGUUCUUUCUCAAGCCACCAAAUAAGUAGGCCCAUUUUGUUCUAAAAUACCUGAAGCCCAAACGUCCAAAGCUUAGUUCAGCAGCCCAACUACUCUCUUUCCUCACUUAAUCAAAACCUAUAAAUAAAUUAGGUCCCAUUUGUUUCUUCCAAGACUUGUUAUCCCCCACCCUUCCUCUCAUUUCCUCUUAUGAACAAAAUACAAUCUUCUUUAUCCUCUACAUCAGAAUAUGAUAGAUUUUUUUGUGUAUGUGUCAUUUCCCUCUAUCUCAUAUUUUUGUCUCGAUAUUUUCUUUUAUCUCUCUUUUUGUGGUGAAUCUUCAAGGAUCAGACCAAAUUUCACCAUUUCGGGCAUGGCCUGAAGCAUCACGUGAAGAUGAAGUUCGUCCAAACCUCCAACGUUUGGAUUCAAACGGAUGUGUUGACCAAGAUUUCGAAUUUGAAAUUUCAAGUUCCCGCUCUUCAGAAACCCUACCUUUUUAUCGCCUAUAAAUACUUCUCUAAGUCUCAGCCGAAGCCAAGCGGGGAGAACGAUAAAAAUCUCAUCUAUCUUACUACUCUCUUAACACUACUGACCAUUGUUCUUUUAAAUUUGCUUCAUUUUGUUAAAAUCGAUUCUACCUUCGAUCUUGUUCGCGGAGUAGAUCUGAAACCUCAAAAGCCUUAGUUCACUGCCCGCAAAAAUGUCAGUAACUGAAGUAUUUUUUUUCUCUCGUUUUUUCUUCUUCUUCUUUGAAUAUCUGAAAUGAUUGUAUUUUUGUUUGAAUGAGCUGUAGUUUAUUAUGUGUGUGAAUUGUGAUUUAGAGUUAAUUGGUGUAUAGAAAUCAUGAACUUAGUUAUUCUGCUCAAAUAAAAUUUAAACGAAAGUAAGAGUUUGACUAAGUAUUUAUAUAAAUAGAUAGCUGGUGAUAUUAUGGAGUUGUUAAUAUUAUGCCUUUUUUUGCUUUAAGGUGUUACCAUCAAUCUGUAUCUUUCUUUAAUUAAAGUAAUCAGUUUAAAAUCUUUAUCUAGCGUGUAUUUAUUAGCUAAAACUUUUCUUCCUCUGAGUUAACUCUAUCAUUAUUGUGGUCGUUUCGUGUUCAAAAUAUGAUUCUAAGUUUGUUGUUCUUCUAGUUCAAAUGCCAUGGAAAGCACCAUGUUAAAAAAUAACUUUCUACUUAUGUAAUUUGAAUUAUUACUUUAUUUUAGCAAUGAGUUAGAAGAAUUUUUGGUAGAAUUCAUGUAUAAAGUUGCCUAUGAGUAUAACAUUGCUCAUGUAAUUAAAGAGGUAUUAUUAAUAUGUAAAUGCUUAUUCUAAAGAUCAGAGAAGAGACACGUUCUGUUUGAAGUGCUAAUACAUCUUCUUUUGUUGUUUUCAAGUAACAGAAAAUGUAACUCUAGGAUUAGUCAAAUCUAGAUAUUGUAGGACUCAUACUUUACUGGUAUAAGAAUUAUCUCAUGAAUUUCGUUAGAAGAUAUAACUCAUGCUUGACUAACUGAUUCAUUUUGUUUAGCCUGAGUCACUCUGUUCUUCAUAAGAAACUUACUUUGCUUAUAGGAGUG